rnacentral:snRNA from 1 species
GUCCCUUUCGGGGACAUCUGAUAAAUUGGAACAAUACAGCGAAGAUUAGCAUGCACAAAUCGAGAAAUGGUAAUAUGUUCAU